CUCACAAUUGGUUCGCCUAUAUGUUUGCAUGUUUUCUAGUUAUUGUUUAUUAUAUCAGUGUACAUUAUUGAGUUUGUUUACACAGCGAACAGCAAAUAUGCGAACAGCAUACAAGAUAAAACAUUGCACAGGCUGGAGGCACUGGGAGCGUUAUGCUUCGCUGCCAGCCAAAAAACUGACCCAACUCGAAAUUUCCUAAUCGUUUCGACUUGCCAUGGCUCCAAUGUGACCAGGCUUGAAAGCCCCCCAUAUUUGCCAAGAUAGUCAAUGGAGCUUAUAAACGAAUACUUACAUUCAUUACAGGAGCAGCAUCCAGGACUUUGGUGCUAAUAUCCUUUUCAGAAAUCGAGGCCUGCUCACUCUCUGUAUCAAAGGUAUUGGAGA